rnacentral:rRNA from 1 species
UCCGAGCGUUGUCCGGAAUUAUUGGGCGUAAAGGGCUCGUAGGCGGUUUGUCGCGUCGGGAGUGAAAACACCGGGCUUAACUCGGUGCUUGCUUUCGAUACGGGCAGACUAGAGGUAUGCAGGGGAGAAUGGAAUUCCUGGUGUAGCGGUGAAAUGCGCAGAUAUCAGGAGGAACACCGGUGGCGAAGGCGGUUCUCUGGGCAUUAGCUGACGCUGAGGAGCGAAAGUGUGGGGAGCGAACAGGAUUAGAUACCCUGGUAGUACACAGCGUAAACGUUGGGCGCUAGGUGUGGGGCCUAUUCCAUGGGUUCCGUGCCGUAGCUAACGCAUUAAGCGCCCCGCCUGGGGAGUACGGCCGCAAGGCUAAAACUCAAAGGAAUUGACGGGGGCCCGCACAAGCGGCGGAGCAUGCGGAUUAAUUCGAUGCAACGCGAAGAACCUUACCUGGGUUUGACCUACACCGGAAGCCUCUAGAGAUAGAGGUCUCUUUGAUACUGGUGUACAGGUGGUGCAU